rfam:Oryza barthii chromosome 1, whole genome shotgun sequence.
AAUAAGUGUAGCCAUGAGCAUCCGUGCUCAUUUAAUCGUCCGUCAUAUUUGAAAUUUUUUUAUAAUUAGCAUUUUUGUUGUUAUAGGAUGAUAAAACAUGAAAAGUACUUUACUCGUGACUUAUGUUUUUAAUCUUUUUAAAAAAUUUUAAAUAAGACAAACGGUUAAAGUUGGGCGCGGAAAACCAUGACUGCACUUAUU